rnacentral:rRNA from 1 species
AUUGAACGCUGGCGGCAGGCCUAACACAUGCAAGUCGAGCGGAUGAAGGGAGCUUGCUCCUGGAUUCAGCGGCGGACGGGUAAGUAAUGCCUAGGAAUCUGCCUGGUAGUGGGGGAUAACGUCCGGAAACGGGCGCUAAUACCGCAUCCGUCCUGAGGGAGAAAGUGGGGGAUCUUCGGACCUCACGCUAUCAGAUGAGCCUACGUCGGAUUAGCUAGUUGGUGGGGUAAAGGCCUACCAAGGCGACGAUCCGUAACUCGUCUGAGAGGAUGAUCAGUCACGCUGGAAGUGGGACACGGUCCAGACUCCUACGGGAGGCCGCAGUGGGGAAUAUUGGACAGUGGGCGAAAGCCUGAUCCAGCCAUGCCGCGUGUGUGAAGAAGGUCUUCGGAUUGUGAAGCACUUUAAGUUGGGAGGAAGGGCAGUAAGUUAAUACCUUGCUGUUUUGACGGUACCAGCAGAAUAAGCACCGGCUAACUUCGUG